rnacentral:lncRNA from 1 species
AGUUCUCCCUCACACCGGAGGCUGAAGACACUCACACUUCCUCCUUUUAAGUCUUCAACUUUUCUUCUUUAUGACACCCAAGGCUUUCAUGGCCAGUCAGAACGUCAGUGCCAGAAGAGGCCUUUGAGACCUCUGCACUCAAUUUCUGCAUUUGAAGACAGACCCAGGCCCUCAUCUCCUGACCCCUCAUCCAGUGAUAUUCUCCUGCACCUCCCUGAGGAGUUGCUCAACACUCUGAUCCCUCCGAGAAGCCUGGGGUACCUCUAAAUUUAACAUGCCAGAAACCGAGAACUCUAUGCAAACAACACCACUGCUCAGAGGUGAUAAGGGCUUUUCCUUAGGUUUUGCCGUGGAGUCCUUUUUUCCCUUCCUUUCUUUCCCCAGUGUACACUCGAAGGUUUGCAAUGCUUCACGCUUGAAGACUUGAGAAAAACUGAGUCAAUUCAAUCUGACCGACUUCAUAGUCACUGGCUUCAUGUGCAUUUGCUUGCUGUGAAAAGAAAAGCAUGUGAAGAAAAAUAUAUUGCCACUGAAUGAAUGGAUCUGUCUCAAAUAUAAUUGCUCAUUUUUACCUGUCCCUUAUGUACAAACUCUUUCCAGCCACAGCUCUUCCGAAUG